UGUAAAACCCGGGCAGGUUGCUUUUCCGGGUCCUUCAGUUGCAGUGCGAGUGCCGCAUGCGCAGAGGAGACUCCAUCCGCCAUGGGCCGGUUUCCUGAGACUUGGACCGGCUGGCAAUGAAUCCUAGGCUCCUGUGUCCCUUGUUACCUAUCUGUAAGGAAACCGCUUCGUGCAGCUUGUAAUGUGUGUAGGCGUCUGUCUUACCAAACUCAAGACAACUUGGUAACCAGCACACAAUACUGGUUUAUAGUAACCACUAACUUCCUCAGAAGCAGCAAACUUUUAGAGUUUUUCAAUUUAAUUAUGGUUAUAUGAUUUUUAUUUCUCCAUGAAAUGGACUGGGAUCCUCCCACUCAGAUGUCCAUGAUUUAUUACUGACUGAAGCAGCUUAGAUUGAAGGUGAGGGAAGAAUAAUCUGAGCUUGAAAUAAAGACUUAGAAUAUAGACCACCGCCUGCGACCUUCUAACUCAAAAUUAGAAGACAUUAUUGGAUAGUUUCAAGGGAAGUUAUGAACUUGAGAAAAACCCAGAAAUAAGCCAUGGAAGACGUGCCUGCUUCCCCUUCACCUUCCACCAUGAUUGAAAGGUUCCUGAGACCUCCCCAGAAGCCGAGCAGAUGCCACCUUCAUGCUUCAUUUACAGCCUGUGGAAGUAUUCUUACAGAAGGAUUGAGUUACUGUAACUGAAGACUUGAAAACUAACCAGAAAAAAGUGCUCUGAGGUUAUGUUUGGUUGGAAGUGAACCCAGAUGGCUCUGCGAGUCUCCAGCAGUUUGUAUGCUUAGGUGUGGCUAACUCCUCCAAGCCGUGGGCAAUGCGGUACCUCCAAUCUCUGGACAACAAUAGCAGAGAACUAUCUUAGGCCCUUAAAUAACUGCCAGGUCUUUCAUCAAUCUAAUUUAGAGGCUCCCAGCAAAUGAAUCUAAGCUUCACAUUUACUGCAUUGAAGAAAUAGGACAAGUUUUAAGAAGCAUGUUAUCCUGAGUGUUUACCAUCAGAGGACACAGCAACAGGUGCCAUCCUAGAAGCAGAGAGCAGACGCUUACCAGACAACCAACCAGUUGGUGCCGAAAUCUUGGACUUCUCAGCCUCCAGAACUGUGAGAAAUAAAUUUCUGUAUUCUCUAAAUUACCCAUUCUGUAGUAUUUUGUAAUAGUAGCACAAAUAG